UACGAAGGGUGCAAGCGUUACUCGGAAUUACUGGGCGUAAAGCGUGCGUAGGCGGUUUGUUAAGUCCGUUGUGAAAGCCCUGGGCUCAACCUGGGAAUUGCAGUGGAUACUGGCGAGCUAGAGUGCGGUAGAGGAUGGUGGAAUUCCGGGUGUAGCGGUGGAAUGCGUAGAUAUCCGGAAGAACACCGGAGGCGAAGGCGGCUUGCUGGACCUGGUCUGGACGCUGAGGCGCGAAAAGCUGGGGG
rnacentral:rRNA from 1 species